rnacentral:rRNA from 1 species
UGCAGUCGAACGGCAGCACGGACUUCGGUCUGGUGGCGAGUGGCGAACGGGUGAGUAAUAUAUCGGAACGUGCCCUGGAGUGGGGGAUAACGUAGCGAAAGUUACGCUAAUACCGCAUACGACCUGAGGGUGAAAGGGGGGGAUCGCAAGACCUCUCGCUAUUGGAGCGGCCGAUAUCAGAUUAGCUAGUUGGUGGGGUAAAGGCCUACCAAGGCAACGAUCUGUAGUUGGUCUGAGAGGACGACCAGCCACACUGGGACUGAGACACGGCCCAGACUCCUACGGGAGGCAGCAGUGGGGAAUUUUGGACAAUGGGCGCAAGCCUGAUCCAGCAAUGCCGCGUGCAGGAAGAAGGCCUUCGGGUUGUAAACUGCUUUUGUCAGGGAAGAAAUCUUCUGGGCUAAUACCCCGGGAGGAUGACGGUACCUGAAGAAUAAGCACCGGCUAACUACGUGCCAGCAGCCGCGGUAAU